GCUGUAUCAACAGGAAGCCAGAACUCCAGGCAAGGAAGAGCAUUCUGGACUCUAUCCUUAGAUAUCCUGAUUCAGUAGAGAAGAUCAGGUUCCUGCUGGGAUAGGGCUCAGAAAAGGAAGUUUUGAUGGAUGAGAAAUACCCAGAUUCUCAUGAGAAAGAUCAUACUAUGAGUAACUAACCAGGGCCUCAAAUAAAGAAGAUUGAGAGGGAUCCAGGCAGCAGAACAGAGUGAGAUGUCCUCCAGGUCUGUCUCUGAAAGGCAUGCCUGGAGCAGA